rnacentral:rRNA from 1 species
AGUGAACGCUGGCGGUAGGCCUAACACAUGCAAGUCGAACGGCAGCACAGUAAGAGCUUGCUCUUACGGGUGGCGAGUGGCGGACGGGUGAGGAAUACAUCGGAAUCUACUUUUUCGUGGGGGAUAACGUAGGGAAACUUACGCUAAUACCGCAUACGACCUACGGGUGAAAGCAGUGGAUCUUCGGACCUUGCGCGAUUGAAUGAGCCGAUGUUGGAUUAGCUAGUUGGCGGGGUAAAGGCCCACCAAGGCGACGAUCCGUAGCUGGUCUGAGAGGAUGAUCAGCCACACUGGAACUGAGACACGGUCCAGACUCCUACGGGAGGCAGCAGUGGGGAAUAUUGGACAAUGGGCGCAAGCCUGAUCCAGCCAUACCGCGUGGGUGAAGAAGGCCUUCGGGUUGUAAAGCCCUUUUGUUGGGAAAGAAAAGCAGCAGGUUAAUACCCCGCUGUUCUGACGGUACCCAAAGAAUAAGCACCGGCUAACUUCGUG